UACGAAGGGGGGCUAGCGUUAUUCGGAAUCACUGGGCUUACAGGGUGCGUAGGCGGCUUGUUAAGUAGGGUGUGAAAUCCCCCGGCCCAACCGGGGAAUGGCGCUCUAAACUAGCAGGCUUGAGUGAGCUAGGGUGCACGGAACUUCCAGUGGAGCGGUGAAAUGUGUUGAUAUUGGAAGGAACACCGGAGGCGAAAGCGGUGCACUGGGGCUUAACGUGACGCUGAGGACGAAAGCCAGGGGAGCGACGGGG
rnacentral:rRNA from 1 species